UCUAAUAAAGUUCCUGACGUAUUUUAGGCCAGGGGUGGACACUCGCAUUAAUGUGGUGACUCAUCAUUGCAUUAAUUUCACGAUUUACAGUAUUCAUGAAGAAUAUUUUGUAUGGGACCAGACGCAUGGUGGAAUAGAGAAAAUUAUGAGGAUAGACUUACUAAGUAUUUUAUGAUAUUCAUGCCAGCUCAAAAUAAACUUUGAUUUAUUUUUAUGGUAUCCACAAGAUAAGCAGGAUUAAACUAACAUCUUAAGAUGACAUUAAACUGAAUUAUAUUUGCUGUUUACAUAUCAAAGUUUCCGAAAAUGUUACAAAUUGUUUAGCCACAGCAAGGCUAUUCAUUCGUGACAUGUUUCAUCUGAUCUGCUGAUUUAUUUUCAACACUGUCAAAUCUCCUUCCUUGUUUCGAGAGAAGUACUGCGCAGUAAGAGUUGUGAAUAAUCACUCGACCUCCGGACAUGGCACAUCGAAACUUGGAGGUCAGGGAUCACACCUCCCCUUUCUCCCAGGGAGGGGUGGGGAUGUAUUCGGGAUCUGUUAGUCAUCAACCUCGUGUGUGUCAAGAGUUAAGUGCGGAAGAUUCAAUGUUUAACAACAGCGACGCAGAUGGUACUGAAUGCAACGGGAACAAAUCAUUGAAACGUUGCCAGAAAACGACCAAAGGGAAGUCUCACCCCUGCUCGUCCAUUGUGUUAUAAAUCCAGGGUGUCGAGUGGUGUAUCGCUGGACGUCGUGGCAGGAUGGUGUGCUCCCUCAACCGGUUGCUGACGGUUCUCCCACUAAUUGGUCUCAACCAAGGAAUCAUUUGCAGAUGUAACGGCUUUGACUGCUUCAGUAGCUCAAGGAAGGUCCUGAAGUCCACGUUUUCCGCAUUUAAUGUAAAAUGAGAACAGAUGGCGGCGGGCAAGUUUACACAUUGUACGUUUUAUUCUCAUAAAUUAGCAACAGCAGCAAGAAGGCUAGUAAGCAGCAGCUUUACUGUCCUGCCUGGUAGACUGCAUUCGGCAGCCGUGGAGAGCAGGGUAUCGUAUUUCUGAUUCAACGCCAAGACCACGUGACAUUGCUCACUUCCGCCUUGCUGAGCGUCAUGCUCGCCUUUCUGAGACAACAAGGAGGUGAGGCAAAGUGUCAGGGAUAUAGUGUUAAUGUUGAUGCUCCAUGACUAACAAAAUCUUGACCUUAGGUUUUGACCAGUGGAAAGCAAGAUUUGUUUAUGUAGUUACAUGUCAUGUCACUUUUUAUUGUAUUGUGUAAACAAACAUAAAAUGCCUCUGAAAAUCAUUGUUAUCUUUCUCCUGCAUUGUGUAUAUCAAUUGUUAUUUACUUUGCAUCAAUGACCAAGAUUCUUUAUCAAAGUAUAGAAAAACUUCCUAAAGCAUAGAAAAUAUACUAUUGCAGAGAUUCAUGAAUUUUACUGUCAACUGUAGG